ACAGCAGCCGCCGCGGGAAUACAGAGGGUGCGAGCGUUAAUCGGAUUUACUGGGCGUAAAGCGUGCGUAGGUGGUGGUUUAAGUCCGUUGUGAAAGCCCUGGGCUCAACCUGGGAAUUGCAGUGGAUACUGGGUCACUAGAGUGUGGUAGAGGAUAGUGGAAUUUCCGGUGUAGCAGUGAAAUGCGUAGAGAUCGGAAGGAACAUCUGUGGCGAAGGCGACUAUCUGGGCCAACACUGACACUGAGGCACGAAAGCGUGGGGAGCAAACAGGAUUAGAUACCCCUGUAGUCCCUGUCUCUUAUAC
rnacentral:rRNA from 1 species